UACGAGGGGUGCAAGCGUUGCUCGGAAUUAUUGGGCGUAAAGGGUAGGUAGGUGGUCUCAUUUGUCAGGGGUGAAAGCCUUGGGCUUAACCUAAGAAGUGCCCCUGAAACGGUGAGACUGGAGUCCUGGAGAGGGUCGUGGAAUUCCCGGUGUAGCGGUGAAAUGCGUAGAGAUCGGGAGGAACACCAGAGGCGAAGGCGGCGACCUGGACAGGUACUGACACUCAACUACGAAAGCGUGGGGAGCAAACAGG
rnacentral:rRNA from 1 species